AUUUUCCUUACUGUAAAACAUUACAGCAUCCCUGUAAAUGAAACGCUGUAAUAUGUUUUUACAGUAAGGAAAAUAGUACUGUAAAAUAUAUUACAGCUUCUCUGCUAUAAAGUAAAUUACAGUAUUAAGCUGGCAACUCCGAUGCCAGUAUAAUGCUGUACAUUUACAGGGAAAAGUUUUACAGUGUAGAUAGAUAUAUUAAGGGAGAGAAAGAAAGAGAAAAGGGGGGGGCUGAGAUGACAUGCUCCUAUGCUCAGGCUGGGCUUUAUUAGAGAGGGACCAGGCAUCACAAGACAAUGUGUAAACAGGAAACAGCACAGACAGAGCUGGGGAUAAAAAUAAACCGAAAGUCUCGUCAUCGCUGCUGGGCUGGUAAACCCACUCACACCCUCUCAAACCAAGGCUCCAUCCCUCUGGAACUUGAUACAGUCCUUUACUUGGAUGCUUUUGGCCCCUCGGAUAACAUGUAUGCUGAUUGAUAGGACGGUACCAAUGAAAUUAGGUCACUGGGAACUGCUAAUUUGACACACCUCUCCACACAGAGACAGGAGGAAGAGUUGCCAGUACACAACUACUACUGUAACUGUAAUACGUUCUUAUGACCACAGUGCCUCCAGCAUGCCAGAGGUAUUUGAUAUGGUUGACAACUUCAAAUUAAGCAGUAAUCAUUUUUUCCCUGGAUCAUUACUAAAUUCUGUGUUGAAGCAUGCACAGCUAAUAGGGCCAAACCUACUCUUAAUUGCAGGGAUUAUGACCGUAAAGCCACAAAGUCUUUGCUCAAUGCUGUCACUAACAUGACAGUAGGGGUAAGAAGAAAAAUAAACACCUCAAUUACCCAUUCUGAGAAAUGUGGUAGAAAAGCUCGCUAUUCUCUUACCCUCUAACCAGUUCAUUAUUAGUUGGCUCACACCUCUUUCAUAGCCCAAAGGACGGCCUCCUUCAAGCCAAUAAUCGAACACACUACUGUGCUUUUGAGCAACCAGUAUGUAGACACAGUUACCAAUUGAUUUAAAUUACUUGAUUCAAUUCGCCGUGGGUUGAAUUGAAAAGGGGAACUAAUGUCAGAUAAGAUGGCCUGAGAUAAAUGGAUUUUGAUUCGCUUUGAGCAAGAUUAACAUGUGAUGCUUUCCCAGGCACUCACUUUUAUAGUGCUAAACUGUAGUAAAGUCACUCCUGGCGAGAGGGCUGUCAGAGGCACAGCUGCUUAAAGAGAGCUAAAUUAUAAAGCUGUGUACUCUGAGCAAGGCACAGAACCAUCCCCUUCCCAUUAACCAACAGUGGCCCUGACCUCUUUAAAUCUGCCCCAACAUUCCCUUGACACCAGCCUGUCUGGGAGAAACACAGAGCCAGGGCCCUGCACUGCGAUGACUCGCUGCUGCCACUGCUGCUGAUUGGACGUGCUCUGUGUGGGUCAGAACAUUUCCAGCUCUAAAUCACGUAAGCGAUGGGAUAAUUGCAGGCCUUUGGGCCGCCGCUCAACCCUCUAAUACUCACGGGGCUCUGCUCAGGCGCCACUCAUUGCACAAGCGUUCGCUGUGCUCGGCGGCGGAGAGAGCCACAGGCGAGGGGGAUGCCCCUCGGCACUGUCAAGGUUAAUCUUCUAAACACAGGGUGACAAAGCAAUACUGUCGAAUGAGGGGUGAGAGGAGCAAGAGAGCUACUAAAGUGGGAGAGGUAUUUCUGACAGCUUUGUAAGAGUUCAGAACAAUGUCACACUCCCUUGGGGGUGAACUCAAGUUUUUUUUGGCACAAAACUCAAAAGGUGUCUCUGACACAACAGUCCCCUGGAAUAUUAAUGAACAUAAAAUUAGUUAUUAGUAGUUUUUCAUUGAAUAAAUGACAAGGUAUUUGCAUUGUUUCUGAUAAUAUAAAAAUUUGAAAAUACUUUAAAUUAACUCUAUAUUUCCAACAUAUAAUAAGGGAUAAUAAAUAUUUGAGGAAUCAGGGCAGUUGUUGAGGCAGACAGGAACUUGGCGCCAUUGAGCCAUAAAUCACAUAAUGUACCCAGCUAGCACAUUUGGUUCCUUGGAAGUUGUGGGAAUGUACAUUUUUGGUUACUGACCAGUUCCCUGACGUGUUUGAAGAAUACACAUGAUCCCCCUCUUAUCAUUAAAUUCAAUAAUAACAAAGUGCAAGGUCUCUCCCAGUUCAGACAUAUGUAUCAACCCACUUUUAAUCAGGGGACUCCUUGACAAACCAUCUCUCCUGUCCUCCAUCUGUAGAAAAACAAAGUAGAGUUGAAACACACAGCACUGAUCACAUUAUCAAUGGUUAUUAGGUGAAUUCCAGGAGAGACAAGUGAUAGUAUUCUGACCUAUGACCAGAUCAAAUGUGACC
rnacentral:lncRNA from 13 species